UCAGUUUAGAUAGGUAGAGUAUUUUAUUCAAUAGAGUAAAUUCAAUAAAUCAAAUACAUAAAAGAGGGAGUCAUGAUGGUAUUGACUAAAAAUUGGAAACUUUCAUAUCAAUACAUAAAUUUAUUAAUUAAAGCAAUACAGUACACAUAAAACAACUUUAAAGAAGAUGAAGUAAUGUAAUAUAAAUUAGGAGAAUUCGAUCUCAAAAUACCAUUUGGUGUGAUCCUUUGUUCCCCUUAAAAUCCAAUAUUUGACAAUUCAUCUUAGGCAGUCACGUUUGUAUCGGGGGCAUGCUUUUCGAGUACCAGGAUUUGAUACAGGAAGGCAGUAGCGGUUCCCCGGACGGCAAUCAAGAGCAGGACGGUUAGGAUUUCCCACGCCGCCAGUUGCGCUAUUGGUGCUAGCUGUAAGCAUUCUGUUAGUCUCGGAGUCCAUCAUCAACUCUAAUUCCAUGUUGGUAUCUGCCAUGGAAAAGGAAAAGGAGUUGUUGCUAAUCAUUUCCUGCGGAGUACUAACAGCUCCCAGACAACUGCUUCUGCUCAUCAGAAUCAAAAUCACCACCACCGCUAGAGAAAGACUCCUCAUUCUGCCUUUUUUUUUAGUACUAUUUUCUAGUGUCGGUGUUUAUUUCAUAUGAAAAUACAGCUGGGAAGAGAGCUCUAAAUAGUAAAGUGGUGGUUUUUUGACAUUGACUUAUUGGCUGCAUUCGAAAUUGCUCCACUUAAGAAAUUGAUUUGGACCAAGAGAUAAUGGAUAAUGAGUCCACCAUAUCCUUAUCUUUAAGAUUUUAUUUAAUGUAUUUAUGAGUGUAUUAUAACUAGUGUAAUUGAUUGGUGAAUAGAGUGAGUGAUUGAUCCCUUCAUGACUCUAUUUCACCCAUUUUCAUAACUUAGCAAUAAUAAUUAUUUGUGAGUGGUUGCCUAUAUCACGACAAUCAUAGAGGUAAAAUAUCAACAUUUCCUAAACAUUAUACAACUAGUUAUAUACGGCCUGCUCGUCGAGCGAAUAUUUAUUUAUUUUUUUUAUUAUUUGAAAAAAUAUUAAUAUUUAUUGGAAAAAAAUAAAAAUAUUAAUUAUGUAAUUAUUUUAUUUAAUAAUUUAAAAAUAAUAUUAAUGAUAUUAUUAAUUUAAUUAUUUAUUAUCAAAAGCUUAAACAUUUUAUUAUUUUAAAAGAAUAUUAAUGAUAUUAUUAAAUUUUUUAAACAAUUGAACAAUAUCAUUAAAAAUGGUAGAUCAUAUUAAUUCGAACUCAAAAUAACUUAAAAGAAAAUUAAAUUAUAAAACAAUUAAAAAAAUAAAAAAUAAAAAAUAAAAUGAAAAGGAAAAAUAGAUAUAAAUAAAAACUAAUUUCUAUAUUUCCGCUCUGGUACUUCACAUAUCAAUAUGCUAACUGUAGGACAACUCAAGGAGGUCUGAGUUCUUCCAUGUUGAGCUUGUUGAAGAUGGAUAGUGGCAUCACACUUAUAUCAGCUCCUAAAUCACAUAAAGCUUUAUCAAUCUUCACUGCUCCGACUUCCACACAAGAAGGAAAAACUUCCUUAAUCUUUCAUUUUUGGUGGCAGCUUAUUUUGGAUCAUUGCAUUACAAUUCUCAGAAAGUGCCACUAUUUCCAAUUCUUUUAUUUUCCAUUUCUUCGUCAAAAUUUCUUUCAAAAAUUUAGCUAUGUCGACAUCUGAGCUGAGGCGGUGCCAAAGCCAGUGAAGUGGGGUCAAUUGACCCACUCAACUUUUAAAAACAAUUUAUAAAUAGGACUUAAUUGAUAAAAAAAAUGAAAAGUAUAUAUUAAGUGAAAAAUUGUAGAGCUUUUAAUCUAAUUGACCCCACUACAAAUGAAAUUAAAUAAAUGGCCCAACUGAAAAUCAUUUCUAGCUCCGCCACUGCAUCUGGGUCAUGAUGUAUUAAAAUGGAAUGUUAACAUAUAAUUAUUUUAGCAUCUCCAAAAAUUUCUCAAAUUGCCUAUUUUGGUUCGUUUAUCAGAGUCACUAUGGAAUGAAAUAACUUCCUCUUAAAGCCUUUUAUUCUCCUUUGAAUAUUCUCUUCUUGUCUUUUCUUUCUUACUUCAUCGUCUUCAGCUGUUUCAUGGUACUUUCUAAUUGCCACCCAAAUACUCACGAUUUUUUUCACUUAAAUGGGUUGAUAGUCACAAGUAUAUAAGGUUAUUGCAAUACCGGAUAAAUCUCUUGUUUUGUAUUUGAAAAAAAUGGCAUCGAAUGUUACUUUUGUUUUCUACAUGCUUUUUUGGAAGUUUGUGUACCGCAAAGCCUAUAGUUAGUGCAUGGAGAUUUUCUCACACAUAGGUAGUAAAGAGUAGCUAGAGCCUCAGAAGAGGAUCGUGAUCUACAUCGAUAUUAGAGUUACUUUUCUUUUUGGGUAGAAGAUCUUAUUUCUUAUAAUAGAGUAGGACAAACUUAUAUUUGGAAUGUACAAAUGUUUAUUACAUAUAUAAGAGAUUUAUAAAGAAAAAUUUUGUAUGAGCUUACAUAUUGGAAAAACCUUUAAUAGAUUAUAUAUGGACGAUUUUUUGAAAGUGAUUUGUGAAGUUUAAGCUGAUCGAUUGAAUGUAGUUAUGUGGAGUUAAAAGUGGGAAGUUUUAGAAGUGUUUUAUUAACAAGUUAAAAAUCUCGAGGAUGUUAGGAUUUUAAAGAAAACUCUUGCAUUUUUUCCGUUAAAAUAUAAGUUAAGAAAUAUAAAAAUAUACAUGUUUUAGGAUAAUAAUGGUUAAGUUUGAGAUAUGAGUUAUUGAUUAUAGAUUUAGUGCUCUUAGCGCAAUAUGUGGUAUCUCUUAUUUGGACUAUUUAUCGACCCGAUGGUUUAUCUAUAAUCCGAAUAAAAGUGUUACACGAGAAGUAUGAGUUGAUUAUUUGAAAAUAGUUAUUUGAGGUUUAAGAUUUGAUAUUAUGUUAGCAUUUUCUAAGCAAGUUUAUAAAUUAGAAAUGUUAAGAUUAUAGGGGAAAUUCUUAUAGGUUUUUUGUAGAAAUUUUAUAUACGGUUAUUGCAUGUUAGUAAUGUUACUUUGUAAGUCAGAAUCAUAUAAUAGGAAGUUACAAAAUUAGUAUAUUUGGCAUAGCAUGCGGUGAUUUAUCAAAUGCAAUCAUGUUAGUAAUGACAGAGAAGUGGCUGUGGUAGCAGAUCGGAGAUGUUAAGAAAUGAGUAAAUACUGCAUGACAGAGAGUCCUGUGGUUUCUAUGCCAACCACAAAGCGUUUGACCAAUAUACGUCACGUCGUUGUUUCGUUAACCUGAGAAUUACAGUUACGAAUAAAAGAUCAAGCAUCGAAUAUCUCCAUCCAUAGCGAGACAUAAUUGCCACAUAAGCAUUGCAACGGCAGAGAGAAUGAAUACCACCACCCACAAUGAGAAUCAAUGCCAGCAAUUCUGGAUCUUACCUUCUCAGAACAUCCUCCCCCUCUUUGCCCAACCUCCCCCUGCCACUCGCUAUCUUCAUAUCAUAACGAUCUUUCCAAAACCAGUGGCUAUCCCAACCAUUCACGACAACAAAGCCGUCUUUUCUUGUCGCUAUUUCAUUUUGAUUUACUCUUGAUCAUUUAUCUACAAUCUCUCGAUCAUAUUAAUUUGCUUUCCUUUAAAUGCUCAUAUAUUUAUCUUCGUCAGUGGACAGAGCUCACUGCUGUAACAAAUAGCAGGACAACCCUUGGCUUUUAUCUCCAUCAAGUCAUCCCUUCACUGCACAAGGUCAUUGUUGCUUUCUUUCUCUACUACUCUUUUCUCACUGGUUAGGUUAAACAACUGAUUUAAUUAUUGCUGCUCUUACAUGGCUGCCAGGUGUGUGAUUCAAUUGAUUUGAUGAUGACUUUUUAUGUGGUCAGCUUGAAACUGACGCAAUAGUUGUAGCGAUUGAUUAUAAAGGCUGAGGUCAAUGCCAUCAACAUUUCUACCCACACGUGCCUGCAGAAUUAUCUGAAACAAAACACAAUACCAGUGUAUGUUAACAACAAAUUGAAAUGAGAGGAAUGGGUGGGGAGACAAGGAAGAGAGGGAGAGUCAAAGUGACCAGUGCAGCAAACCCAUGAAUGAAUUAUUUCAGUCUUACCUCAUUAUCAGAUUGAAUAUGCAGUUCACCGAUGAACUGGUAGAUGGAACCAAUUCGGAAGCUAAGGUUUCUCAAGUGUUGGGUGUCAAUCUUCAGAAUAGCAUUUCCAUCAACAAUUAUAGCUAUGGCAGUUUCCACAGAAUAUUCUUGUAACCUGCAGGAGAAACAAAAGAUUUUCUAACAUGUUGCAGCAUAAGAUAAUGAACUAACAAUAUAAAAGCGUAAAUUACACAUGGUUGAACUGCUAGACUCUCCUAAUAGGACAAACAUCCCAUAGAUGAAACUCACAAUGAAUGGAAGUCGCCAUUUGUUUCAAAUAAUUUAAUCUGUNNNNNNNNNNNNNNNNNNNNNNNNNNNNNNNNNNNNNNNNNNNNNNNNNNNNNNNNNNNNNNNNNNNNNNNNNNNNNNNNNNNNNNNNNNNNNNNNNNNNNNNNNNNNNNNNNNNNNNNNNNNNNNNNNNNNNNNNNNNNNNNNNNNNNNNNNNNNNNNNNNNNNNNNNNNAUUUAUCAGCCAUCAUUAGAUUUCUCUAACCUAAUACUAAUAUUUCUGGCAUGUAGUCGGUUCCUAUUAAAGUCAUGUGAAGGAAGACAAGGAUUUUUUGAUGUAGGUGCUGAUUUGAUGUGUAAUGUUCCUUGGACAAACAACUUCAAUACCUCAGAAUAUGUGUUAGGCAUACCCUUCAAAUCAAUUCUGUCCAACACUCUGCUGCAACGACCGAUGCCAUCGCUUAUUCCCCUUGCUGCAACAUUGCUCCCUUUUCCCAUAGAAUUACUACCACCUAUACCAUGCCACCAAAUCCCAUAAGAUCACGACUGCAAUUUGGCUCUUCCAAUUAUAAAUUUAUUAUCAUAAUCUAAACCUAUAUAGCAAGUGCAUUUGCCCCCAUGUCUCAUCUUUAUGACCAUGUCCUCUACCUCAUCCGAACCUUUGAGACUACCACCAACAAAUAACUUUUAGACUUUAGUUAUCACCAUAUCACCUCAAAAAGCCCUUCCUUGAGGUUCCUCUCCAAACAUAUCCAACAAAAAUAAAACCACAUUAUUAUCAAUAUCAUUACCCAACACACAAACUUCCAUCAUUAUUUUAAACCACCAUUUUCAUUUCAAUCUCACAUGUUUUCUCUCCAACAAAUAAAACCACCAAUACAGAUUCUCAAAUUAAUUACACUUUCUUCCAACAAGGGAAAACUGUCCAACUUCUAUGUUAGACUAUAUCUACUACAAGCAUUACAAAAAUCCUACAAGAACACAAAUAUCAAAAAUCACAGUACAAUGCAAUUGGGGAAGGAAUGUAACGAAGUAGGUAUAUAAUAGUUAAAUAAUAAUAAUAAUAAUAAUAAACUGAUACGAACAUUAGAAGGGCUUAAGACCUUACUUUCCAGUGAUUCUAAGUGAUGCUCCUUGCUUAAAGAAAGGUGAUGAUGGUUGCAAAUCUUUCAACAUCACCAAUUCCCCAUGUUUAAUUGCAGGAAGUGCCAUUAAACCAACACUACUCACCCCCAAAGGCAGCUGAAUUCUACCUGCAAAUUAAGGAAUACAAUGAUACAAAAGAAAAUACAAAAUGACCAACAUAUCUCAAAACACGAGUUAUACAUUGUAGAAAACCAAAAAACUUUCAUCAUUUACUUUCAGAACAACAAUGUAGGAAACCCAACAAAACCUCAGAAUUAAUACCAUUUCAAAAGCAUAGUCAAGCAAAUUUAUCCACAAACCACAAAUCACAUAAACUAUCUCAAAAUUAAGCAUUCAAAUUACCAUAAAUCACAUAAACUAAAUUAUGGCUGUCCCAACUCCUAAGAAUCCAUAUCAAAUAUAGUUGAAACAACAAACCCUAAGGAAUUGGCAAACAUUUAAAUCAAAUAAUUCGACAUCAACAAGUGAGUAAAAUAAUCAACUGAAAUAGACACAAUAACACUGAAAAGAAAGUUGUUAAUUUGCAAUUGAAGUUUACCCAUAUAUCAAAAGCAAUUCUAAGCAUUCGUUCAACUGAGAACGAAAGGAAGAGGGAGGAAGCAAAACGGAAAAAAAAAAAAAAAAUGAGAAUGAAAUCAAAAAAAAAUCAAGAACGAACCUGUGGCUGAAAAGCACUUGUACGCUUGAAGAGCACGAGCUGCGGAGGCGAUGGCCAGGAACGAAAGCAACGGGAAGGUAUCUGGCAGUAUAAGUGCAGAAACGAGCGGCGCAGGGAAGGGAGGGAGGAGAAAAUACGUUCGACUUGAGUUGAGUUUGAGAGAACUUUCCCUUUGUAUGAGUAAAUUCCAACCCUAGGCUAAAACGACGUGAUUUUGGUUCUGGAUUCAUUUAAACCUCCUACAUCAAAAUUACGUCGUUCGUCGUUUUGAUGGUAAAAUAAUCAUUUUUAUUAUUAUUAUUAUUAUUAUUAUUAAAGUUAUUAUUAUUCUUAAAGUUACUAGUGUUCAAGAACGUGUGAUACACGUUUUUACUCAUUGAACAUACCCGUAAAAUGAUUAUUUAUAAUUUAUUUUUUUUAUAUAUUUUUAUUAAUUUUUAUAAAGACAAUAUAAAAAUUCAAUAUUUUUAGUUACAAUUAUUAUAUGUAUAAAAAUAUAUAUGCAAACCACUAUCAUACAUAGUUAUAAUUAUUUGAUGAAAAAUUUUAAUAAUUGUUUAUAAUAGAUUUUUUGACAAAAUGGAAUAGUAACAAAGUUGAAAAUAAAUAACCAUUUGAUCCAAGAUUUUGUCAUACAUAAAAAUAAAUACAUAUAUAAAUUAUUAGUAAUCAAAUUUAAAAUUUUUUUUGCGAUAGCAUACCAAAAAAAAAAAAUAAAAAGUUAAAAUUAGGACCUUAGCCAUUAAUAACAAUACAGUCAGAAGCUUUCAAUAUAGCAAUAGCAAAGAAACUUAUAAUAGUAGAGAGUCUUUAAUGAAUUAUUGAUAAUAAAAGUAAAAAAUCUUUAAUAGUAGCCAAAGAAAAUAUAGUUAUUUGAUAAAUUAAAUUUUCAAUUGAGUUAUAAUUUAAACCUUUAUCCUUUAUUAUCAUAAUAAUAGAUGUAAUAUUAAAUCAAAGUAUAAUAAAUUUUUAAAUUAAAAAUAUGGAACAACUUAAAAAAAAAAAAAAGAAGUGUUAAAUAUUAAAAAAAUUACAAUCAUGAUUUAAAUAAAUUUUUAUAAAAAAAUUUAAUAAAUUUAUCCUAAUUUAAAAUUGAUAAAGAAAUUUAGAUUACGGAUAAAAUAAUUAAUACCUUCAAGAGAAUAAUAAGGCUAAAAGUAGCUAAUAAUAUUAACAAAGUAAACAAAAUGAAAUAUGAAGAAAAGAAAAUAAUUUCAAUUUAUAAUUUAUAAAUUUGAUUAUUUUUAGAUUUUUAUAUAAAAUACUUAAGUCAUUUUCUAAUAAAACUAUAAAUAUGAUUGAUUUAAUAUUGGAUUCAAUCAAAACUUCUAUAAUAAGAUUUUUAUUCCUAAUUAAGAUUGGAUAGAAAUUUUCAGUUACCUUUUCUAAUAUAUAUUUGAUUUAAUAUUAAUAAAACAUAUAUAUAGAGGAAGUUAUAAUUAUACUUAUCGCAAGAAUAAAAAAUGAUUGUAAAUUCAAUAAUUCCAAAUUAGCAAAACUUGAUAAAAUAACUUGAUAGUCAAAAGCAAUAAAUUCAUUAUAGUCAAGAGUAACAAAUUCUUGAUGGUCAAAACUCAAAAGCAAUAAAAACCAAACGUAUACAGUGGUAUGAUAGGAUAAAAUCCUAAUUAAAAUAGUAUUAAAGUUCAAAUUCCUAAUUAGAGUUGGAUUAAAUUUAUAAUAUUAAUAUAAUAAAAGUAAUAAAUUGAUAUCAUAAUUAGAAUAGAAUUAAAGUUAAAUUCCUAAUUAGUAGGGAUGGCAACAAGUGGGGUUCAAGUCGAGUAGUGCAAUACCCAUGCCCAAACUCAAUCUCAUCCUCAAUCCUCAUACCCUAUUGGGUAGGAUUGAAUGCUAUACCCAUUCCAAAAUCCAAUAGGUUUGGAUAUAUCCACAAGUAUCCAUUAUCCGUGGGUGCCCAUGCGUAUCCAUUAUCCACAGAUACCUAUUUAUCCACAGAUACCCAUUUAUCUACAAACUCAUAUUUUGUAAAAAUUAAAGUAUAUUGAAUUAAAAAAAUUAAAGUGUUUAUUUAGAUGGUUUAUAUAAUACAUAAAAAAUGUGAAAAUAAAUUAAUAUAUACAUGAAUGUUCUCAUAAUUGUAAAUUAAAAUUUUAAUUCCAAAGUUGUUCUUCUUGUCAUAAUACUUCACUCAAAUGUAAUAGUAGCAUACUCUUCAAGUGUAAUUAUAAUAAAAAUCAAUUAAUAGAAUAACUAAAAAUAUCAUAUAACAAAAUUAUUAAACGUAAAAUAUUAUUAUAUGAACACUCUAAAUCCCCUUUCAAAAAAAAAAAAAAAAACACACUCUAUAUCAUUAUUGUCAUUAUGAUUUUUAUCCAUUAUUUCAAAUUGAAGUUUAAAUUAAAUAUUAGAAAUUAAAUUUUAAAUUUCAAAAUCUAAAAUUUUAAAAAUUUGAUCAAUUCAAAUUCAUAAAUGAAAACUAGAGUGAAAUUAUUUUACACUAGACGACAUUAAAUCAAAAGUAAAAUUAUAAUUUAUAUAGAUAAUUUAUUACAAGUAACCCAAUUUAUUAAAACCUUCAUACUAUAAUUUUAAAAAAAUAUAUUAAAAUUUUAAAUCUCUGGGGUUUGAAUUUUGAGUGUAGGAUCGAGUUCGGGUUUAUAAUGCAAUAUCCAUACCCUACUUGUAUCCAAAAUAAAACUAUUGGAUUUUAACUAUAUCCUAUCCAAAACAAGUCAAAACCCUAAAAUUCGGGUUUUUGACUUGGUUCGGUUGGGUGCAUACCCAUCGGGUCGGGUUGAUUUUGUCAUCCCUAGUAAUUAGAAUGAGAUUAAAUUUAUAUUAUUAAUAAAAAAGAUCUACCAAUAAGGGAUUAAUAAAUUUAAAUAUCUUAUGUUAUAAUAUAUUUAAAUUAUAAGAUAUUAAAUCGUAGUAUUCUUAUAUGUAUAGAAAUUCCAAAAGUUUCCUAAUUAGAAAACGACUAAAUUAUUUUUAAUGAUAUUUUUAAUUAAUCAACUAAUAGAAUACCAAUAUAAUUAAGAGUUUUCUAAUUAUAAUAAGACUAAAUUAUUCUUCAAUCAACCAAGAAAAUUAAAAGUCUACAAGGGCGUUGUAGAAAUCCAAUGUUCCCCCUCUUUCGCACUUUUAUGUAUAGAUAUUUUGGAAUUCCUAUACAUGCAAAAAAAUUAUGAUUUAUUAUAUUAUAAUUGGACCAUUGAAAUUUCCACGGCUAUCUUACUUCCAUUGAAAUACUUGAAACUAAAAAAAUAAAAAAUAAAAGAUAUUAUCUUGAUAAAUAUUAAUCUUACAAUCCAAAUAAAAUUUAAAAUUUUAUUAAUAAAAUAUAAAAUAAAAGGAAGGAAGAAAAGAGAAAAGGAAGUGCAAGCAUACAAAGGAUGUGACAGAAAAGAGAUAUUGUUAUGUUCCAAAACCGUGGGCAGGACCAAUACUAGGGCCUGGCUGGGUUAAGGCCUCCUAGGCCCGUAGUAAGCCUAAAUCAGUUAAGCUCAAUCUUUUCACUGUUAUCGCUUGAGGCCAAAAACCAUAUUCUUAUAAUCAAGGCUCGAUUUGAUUAUGCACAAACGUAUUGAAAAUACAAAAUUAUAUAAUUAAUACAUAUAUCCACAUCAUUCAAUUACAACUACAAUUGCAGAACUCUAUAAUCUACAAUCUUUUACAUUUACAUGCUUAACACAACCAUUAAAAUUUUCUUUUAUUUGCCUAUCAACUCAUUAGGAUCCGUAGAGUUCUUCUUUCCUUCAGUUACCUAAAAAAAUAAAAGGCAGGGGUGAACGCCAAACUCAAUGAAUAAGGUUAGAUAACCCUCUCACUCCAUACAGUUACACAUAUGAUAAUCAUAUUAUACAAUCAGUAGCCCUCCGACUAGUUAUAAAAGAACAAGCAAGUAUGACACAGAGUCCUGUGGUUUCUACGCCAACCACAAAGCGUUUGACCAAUAUACGUCCCGUCGUUGUUUCGUUAACCUGAGAGUUACAGUUACGAAUAAAAGAUCAUGCAUCGAAUAUCACCAUCCAUAGCGAGACAUAAUUGCCACAUGAGCAUUGCAAUGGCAGAGAGAAUGAAUACCAUCACCAACAAUGAGAAUCAAUGCCAGCAAUUCUGGAACUUACCUUCUCAGAACAUCAUCUCCCUCUUUGUCCAAACUUCCCCUGCCACUCACUAUCUUCAUAUCAUAACGAUCUUACCAAAACCAGUGGCUAUCCCAACCAUUCACGACAACAAGGCCGUCUUUUCUUGUCGCUAUUUCAUUUUGAUUUACUCUUGAUCAUUUAUCUACAAUCUCUCCAUCAUAUUAAUUUGCUUUCCUUUAAAUGCUCAUAUAUUUAUGUUCGUCAGUGGACAGAGCUCACUGCUGUAGCAAACAGCAGGACAACCCUUGGCUUUUAUCUCCAUCAAGUCAUCUCUUCACUGCACAAGGUCAUUGUUGCUUUCUUUCUCUACUACUCUUUUCUCACUGGUUAGGUUAAACAACUGAUUUAAUUAUUGCUGCUCUUACAUGGCUGCCAGGUGUGUGAUUCAAUUGAUUUGAUGAUGACUUUUUAUGUGGUCAGCUUGAAACUGACGCAAUAGUUGUAGCGAUUGAUUAUAAAGGCUGAGGUCAAUGCCAUCAACAUUUCUACCCACACGUGCCUGCAGAAUUAUCUGAAACAAAACACAAUACCAGUGUAUGUUAACAACAAAUUGAAAUGAGAGGAAUGGGUGGGGAGACAAGGAAGAGAGGGAGAGUCAAAGUGACCAGUGCAGCAAACCCAUGAAUGAAUUAUUUCAGUCUUACCUCAUUAUCAGAUUGAAUAUGCAGUUCACCGAUGAACUGGUAGAUGGAACCAAUUCGGAAGCUAAGGUUUCUCAAGUGUUGAAACCGACACUAUCACACAACUGAUUACUUGCAACAUCCCGAAACCAACGAAGAUCAUCCAUCUGAGCUAACGCUUACUGUGACAGUGCUCGCAGCCACUGUCCCCAAGCCCUGUCAAUCACUCCUUCCGGCAAGGAAAAUAGCUUUUCACAGUAGGCUUCAUUGUGGCCCAGGCAUCCACACAAAAAAUAGAAAAUCGGCAACCUCUCAUACUUAAAAUUAAUAGUUUUCAUUGAGCCAUCACCAUGUCUCACCUUCUUCCACCUCUUCAACGGCUUCCUGUGUUCAAACGAACCCGAAUACACAUGUAUGAUCGCCAUGACCUAUAGUUGUUUAGAUCGUACUCUAAGAAAGUUCUGAUGAAAUCACCAAACUGUUUGCCUACAUCCUCAGGCAUAACCCCCAUUGGCAAAUCAUAGACUUGAACCCAAAAGGGAGUGAAGAAAAAUGGGAGACUCUUUGGAUCGUCCCCUCACAAACCUUCUCCAGUGAUAGAGUAAUAAGUUAAGAUAAUAUUUACAAUUUAUUUGUAUUUAAUAUUAGCUAUAUUUGUAACUGUCACUAAAAGAUAUACAUGUAAAUUGCAAUAUAUUGUACCUAUCAUACAAUACAGAAUACAAAAAAGGAUUCUCAAACGUGUAAACCUCCAGAUGGUAUCAGAGCUCUAAGGCUACACGGCAUCUUCUCAUCUUUCUUUCUGUAAUUUUGUAUUCCUUCUUCAUCUUUAUUCAAAAAAAAAAAAAAAAAGUAUGGGGACAGAGCCAGCUCUCACCUCUACUGUUUCUGCACCUGCUUCUUUUUCUUCUGUCCAAGCUCCCAAUAUAACUCAGUUCAUCUCUUUGAAAUUGACCUCAGCUAAUUAUUUGCUGUGGAAAUCCCAAAUUCUUCCCCUUUUGUAUGGGUAUCGACUUGCUGGUUAUAUCGAUGGAUCUAAGCCUGCUCCUUCUCAGUCGCUUGACAAUGGUGACCCCACCUCAGCGUAUAAUGAUUGGCUUUGUCAAGAUCAAAUAGUCAGAAGCUGGAUCAAUUGUUCCGUUUCUGAAUCCCUCUUAAAUCAGAUUGUGUGUUGUACUUCUGCCAAGGAGGCGUGGGAUAAGCUUGCUACGGUUUAUUCAACAGGCUCUCAAACAAGGGAUGGAGGCGAGUUGGACGAAUAAUGGCCUUUUACUCACUCAAAAUAAGUACAUACAGGACUUACUUGUUAAGGCUGGUAUGACUAAUUGUAAGGGCCUUUCCUCACCAGCCACUACAAAAGAAUCGACUACGGAUGCACAACAAACUCCCUUUUCCGAUCCUACACUCUAUCGAAGUAUAGUUGGUGGCCUGCAGUAUCUAAAUCUGACACGACCUGACGUAUGUUAUUCAGUUCAUAAAGUGUCACAAUUUCUUCAAGCACCGACCGAGGCUAACUGGUCUUCCGUCAAGCGAAUUUUAAGGUACUUGAAAGAUACUGCAACGUGUGGUUUAUUUUUCACCAAAUCCUUGACAACCAACUUGAAUGUUUAUUCUGACGCUGAUUGGGCGAGUAGUUUAGAUGAUCGCAAGUCUACCACAGGUUAUGCUAUCUUUAUGGGUUCUAAUCUCAUUUCAUGGAACUCCAAGAAACAACAAACUGUGGCAAAAUCAUCAACAGAAGCUGAAUAUAGGGCUAUCGGACUUGCCGUUACUGAAUUGUCAUGGGUCCAAGCUUUGAUGCGAGAUAUUGGUUAUAGUUCAACAGUCACACCGAAUUUAUGGUGUGACAACAUUGGUGCCACGUAUUUGUCAGCAAAUCCUGUAUUUCAUGCCCGUACUAAGCAUUUAGAAGUGGAUUUUCAUUUUGUCCGUGACAAAGUCAGUAAGCGAGAAUUACAGGUACAAUUUAUUUGUUCGAAAGAUCAACUAGCUGACAUUCUGACGAACCCUCUACCUCAGAUUAUGCCUUAAUGCACAGUUUGACAAUUCGAAGCUUCAUUCCGCAAGCUUGAAUUGAGGGGGCCUGAUAGAGUAAUAAGUUAAGAUAAUAUUUACAAUUUAUUUGUAUUUAAUAUUAGCUGUAUUUGUAACUGUCACUAAAAGAUAUACAUGUAAAUUGCUAUAUAUUGUACCUAUCAUACAAUACAGAAUACAAAAAAAGAAUUCUCAAACGUGUAAACCUCCAGAUCCAGCACCAAAAGAUGAUUAUUAAAAGACUAGGGCCCCCCAUUCCAAACCCUAUUUAGACCAACAAUGUGAAAAAACUGGAAAAGAAAAACUCGAUAGGCAACCUCACUAACAUGAAUACCCUUGCCAGGUCUCCAAAGAUUUGCCAUAGAAUCCUUCAUAGCUUCAUAAUUAACCUUUUGAUUCGUCAAUGGCCUCCCAACCAGACAGAGGUCAUAAUUGGGUUGUUCAGUCAAUUGGCUUCUGUAUUGCAACUGCAUCUUAGCUUCCUCAUCAUCUGAUGGCACAAGACUAGCUAUCGUUUCAUGCUCACCAUAAGCAGCACCAUGACUUUAGACGCCAUAGAUAAAAAAACUCAUGCACAAAGUAAGACACCCUCACAUGCAAGACAAAUAUGAAAAAGAAAAAAACCAUAACUUGAUUUGGCCCUAAUACAUAAAAGAAAAUUUCAAGCUUUAUUAAAGGUAAACUGGACAUUUUAUUACAACUAAAUGGAAAAAUUUAAUUGAAGAACUAUUUAUUUAAAUAGCUACAAAAUAAAAACAUUAUUUAAUUAUUUUUUUAGAAUAGAAGGCAUAAAAUAAUUAAUAUGAAAUUUUGAAAAUAUCAGCUCACUAACAUAGUAUAUAAUUGAGGCACGUGUAUAAAAAUGCAUAAAAUGAGAAUUGAACCCAACGUUAAUCAAACAUGCAGCCCUCUAAUCUAGAGUCAAACGUGCUACCAUUGCGCCACAAAUCCAUGCAUAUUAAAGUAAACAUUAUAAGAUUAAAGAUUAAUUACCACCCUAUUUAUUUGUAAAUUUUUUUCAAAUUUAAAUAAUUUAGAACAUUCUAAAUAUUUUUUUUAUGAAAAAUUGGGCUUUUUAUCCUUUUGGUGCAAAUUCAGGAGCAAAUUAUAUAAAAAGUUAAUUUUUAGGCAACCUGAACAUUACUCCAAGUUCAGGAAAUAAAUUUACGACUUUAGGAAGUCUAAACUCAACAUUAGACAGCCUAAAGUCCUCGAACUAUAAAUCUCUUAGUUGCAACCAUGCUGCCUAAAUUGAAUUUUAGGAAGCCUAAAAAUGAAAAAAAAAAAAAAAAGAAAAAAAAUCAAUAACUUUUGUUAUAAAAUUCUGUUUUCAAAUCCGUUUGAUCCGAUGGAAAUCAUAUUCAACCAAUUAUUCGAAAACAUGAAUUUUUAUGGCAAAACUAUUUAAAAAUAUUCGUUUUCAAAAAUAUUUUUCCACCCAAAUGCAAUAUUUUUAAAAUGUGUUUGUCCAAAGCUGAAAUUUUAUUUGAAAAUAAAUUGUCAAUUUUAAAAUGGUGAUCGACUCAAAUGAUUUUUCAAAUUAAAAUUGUAAGAUCAUCAAAUAUACUUAAGGUGAAUUCCUAGAAUUGAACCAUCAAUUAAUUAGAGCAAUACCUUAAAAGAAGAAAUUCUAAGAAACUUAUAAUUGAAUUGUAGGCUUCAAGUAGCUUGUAUUUGUAACUUGUAUUUGUAUUUGUAUAUUUAAAUUGGAUUUGUAUAAUUGAAUUAUAAGCUGUUGAUGUUAAUUUUCUUGAAUCAACCUGCUAAUCAACAAAUAGUAAUUAAAAUUAAUUAGCAGAAUAACAAUUAUUUGUUAUUAUGUAGGUUUUAUGUAGUGGGAUUGGAAAUUUUGUUUUUUUUUUUUAAAAAAAAAAAAAAAUUGUUUUCUACUAGAACUCGAAAUCUUUUUUUUUUUUUUCAUAAAAAGAGAAAAAUUCAAGAUAAAAUAAAUAGCAACGUGUAUAGAAACAACCAAAAUUUGAAAAUCUAUGCAAAGUACGAGUUCCAACUGGGAAAUGGAUAUCAAAAUAAUCCUAGAGAGUCAAUUUAUCGAGCUAAAAUAAAAUAAUAAUAAUAAUAAUAAUAAUUUGACUAAUUUUUAGAAGAAGCAAUACGUAAGGUUGACGUUAAUACCCUUCUUUGUUAUAACAGAUGGCCCUGCAGAAGACCCUGAGAUGAUCAAUACCAUAUUUAAGACAAACAGAAUUCUCAUAUCAUAACUCAAAACCCAUAAUAUAUGUCUCUUACCAAACAUGAUCUUGGUCAUCAUAUCUGUAGCGUGGUUGAAUUCCUGUUCGGAAAAGGAAGUAGAAAACAAAAUGCAAGCCUAUACAUGUUUUCCAGCUGGACACAUUAAACUUAAUUAAUGUUUCUUAUAUGUCAAAGUCAUGAAAUAUUAAAUUUUGUUUCUUCGAUGGUUAAUUCACAUCUGAGAGAAGGGUGAUUGCAUUUAUUGCGGUAUUUAAUUAUCUUCUACCGUCUCUUCCCUCGCUAACAUUUUGAUUAAAAAUAUAUAUUUUACGAACUUUUGUAUAUUUGGUUAAAUCUGAAAUUAGAUGUGGAAAAUGGCUUUUUAGAAAUAUAUUUUUAACCGUCUGCGUGAGAAAGCUAAGAAGAAAAAUAUCUUCUGCAGCCUUCAGCUAUCGAAGUAGGGGUGGCCACCACGGUUCCAGUUCCAAAACUGAACCGGAAACUGAGGGUUUCAGUUACAGUUUGAAACCGAAUCAGAACUGGUGAUUUCAGUUACGAUUUGAAAUUGAACGGUUACGGCUCCGGUUCUUUAACGGUUUCAAAAUCGAUGAUUCCAGCCAGUUCGAUCAGUUUUCCUGCGAAUCACAUAAUUAUAAAAUCAAAAAUUAAGGAAUAUUUUUUUAUUCGAAAUUUAAAACUUAAAUAUUUAUGAAAUACUUUUUAAAAAAAUUUAAGAAAAAAUUCAAAAAGGCUUGAAUUUAAUUUAAUUUUUUUUUUAAAAAAGCCUCAACUUAAUUUUUUUUUUUUUUAAAAAAAAAAUUAAGUUGUCUAUGUAUCCUCUUAGGGUUUAGAAGAAUCAAAGCUGACGUAGUUCUUACUUACCUUGUACCAAUAUCACCCUUUUAUCUUAGUCAUUAUUUUCACCGGUUGAUGUUUCCAUUGAGAACCCAUCAUAAAAAUUGUAUAAGUCUUCAUUUUCUUUGAUAAUCUCUUGUGCUCUUAGUUUGACUGUGGUCCAAUCAUCCACGCAUGAUUACACUUCUACUGAAUCAAGUAUUAUCCUAAAUCGAAUUUCAUCAAGUUUGUUUUCUCAUUGACUAAAAUCUUGUUCAACCGCAACAAUCGAGACUAGUGCUGCUAAAACUUAUUUUGCAAUUAGUGCAAAGGUUGGAAAUAUAUUGGCAUGACAACUCCAACAAUCUAAAAUCGGAAAGUUGUUACCUGCGAGUAACUAUUACCAAAUCAAGAACAAUGAUAAGAUAACUCUCAAGUUUAGGAAUAGAACGAGAACUGGAUCCCCUAUGUCUUUUUUGUCUUUGUAAUAAUAGAUGUUCAGCAACAUAUAUUUUUUGGUUGCCAAUGAUUGAUUAUGAACUUGAGAACAAUCAGAAGAAGUAGAUGAACCAGAAUAUUGAAUAAAUUCAGUAUAUAAAUCUAUAAUAUUUUUUUAACUUCAUUUAAUACUACAUUUACAUUAACACUAUCUUCUAUAUCAAGAUUUAAUAUUUCAUAAUAAAAAGUCAAAUAAUCAGAUAAAAUUUUAAAUUUACAUCUACGAUCAAAUACACAAGCAAUAAGAAAAAGGAAUGGUAUAUUUUUAAAAUAAACUAAUCAUUUUUGUUUUAUUAAUAAAACACAAUUUUUUAAUAAAAUAUCAUUUUCAAAUUCUGGAAAUGCACUAAUAAUAUUAAUGCAUAUAGGCAAAAAUAAAUGAGCUGUGAGAUUAUAAACCUCACUAAAAGCGUAUGUUACAUCAUUAAAAUUUUCAAAAUAUCCAAAAUUUUUGCACAAAUCUCUCAAUUUUAUAGAUAUAACUUAAUUUAUCCAACAUUGUUAGUAAAAAAUGUGCAAAAUAAUUCUCUAUAUGAAAAAGACUCGUUUAAUAAUUUAUAUAUUGUUGGACAUCUUUUGCAAAACGUUUUGGUCUUCUCUUAUUUUCCUUAUAAAAUUUAUUCCAACUUUUCAUUACUUGGAAUGUCUUGAUAAAUAUGAAAUAGAUUUUCUAAUUGGAGAAAUAAAUGAUUCAAAAACUUGUAAACCAUCUUGUACACAUAAAUUUAAAACAUGAUAUGCAUAUCUAAAAUGAAAAAAUUUUUCACCAACAUUUGGUUCAUAAAUUGCUUUAAGCUCAGUAAUUGAUUUAGUGUUGGCAAAGGAAUUAUCAAAUAAAAUUGAAAAUUUUUUUUUGGGUAAUUUAUAUUCAUCUAAAAUUGAAACAAUCAUUUUAUAUAUAUAUUAUUUGUGGUAUGUUUAUCAUCAAAAAUAUGACAUACAAUAAUUCUUUUUUGUAUUUUUCAAUCGUCAUCAAUCCAAUGACAUGUAAUACUUAUAUAAGAACGCAUUUGCCAAUAAUCAUUCCAAAUAUCACAACAAAUUGAAACAUGAAUUUUUACUUCAAAACAUAAAAGUUCUAACUCUCUUCUUCCUUUUUUUAUCUAGAGAAAUAACAGUUCGUUUUACAAUAUUUCUUGGAACUCUUUUUUUUUUUUUCUUUUGAUAGAGUAAAACUCAUAGCCUUUCAUUCAUUAUCAUUAAUCUCGGACAAACAAUGAGGAAUAUAAUUCCAGAUACGUAGAUGCGCAAAGCAAAUAGAAGCUCGAGCUAGGGUAUGAGCUUUUAAGUUCGCUUGCCUACGAAUCCAUCUACACAAAACCAAAGGGAGUUCUAAAAAAAAGUUCUCACAAUCAGAAAACAUACUCCCCCCAUCCGAUCUAAAUAAAAUAGAGGAGCUCAAAGCAAAAAAUGAAACCUGCGAGUCCAUGAAAAUAGUACCUCCACGCUCAACAUAAUUUUGCUUGAGAAAUAAUAAAAAACUACGAAGAGCUAGAGCCUCUGCAAUAAAAGGGUCCGUACCACCUGUAAAGUGGCCUGAAACUGCUCGAAUAAAAAUGCCUUCCUCUGUCUCCAUCACCACUCCAAAGCCUUGCAUGCCUUCUUGCUCAAAAACCACAAAAGCUUGCCAUGAUUGGUCUCCACUGUUGCUAAGAUGUCCGGGUUGAAAUAUUGCAAGCCUUUGCCGACUUGUAUUUGAGGAUGCACUAGCCAUGCUCCUUUGCGCCAACUUUGUAUGUUCCCAACUAAUCAUGUAUUCUUUUNNNNNNNNNNNNNNNNNNNNNNNNNNNNNNNNNNNNNNNNNNNNNNNNNNNNNNNNNNNNNNNNNNNNNNNNNNNNNNNNNNNNNNNNNNNNNNNNNNNNNNNNNNNNNNNNNNNNNNNNNNNNNNNNNAAAAAGAAGUUAGUAAAAGAAAUAUUUAUAUCACCUACUUCAUACCCCCCUUGCCUCCAAACUCCCUUAGCCUUACUACAUAACACUAUUGCAUGAUUAAUAUCCUCUUCCUCCCCACACCAAGGACAUCCAAUAUCAACCUCCACCCCUCUCCUUCUCAAUCUCUCCUUCGUAGGCAACACAUUCCUUAGAGCCCUCCACAUAAAAUCUUUGUCUUUAGGGGAAGCAUCUAAACCCCACAUCUUACCCCACCAUCCACCAUCCACCUUCCACCUCAUGCACCCUCCCCCUCAACAACCUCCUUGCCACGUAGUACCCCGACCUAACGCUAUAAAUGCCUUUUUUANNNNNNNNNNNNNNNNNNNNNNNGUUAAUACUAAUAGGAAUCCCUAAUAUAGCUCUAAACUCUCUCAAGCUAAAAAGAGUCAUCACCUUCCCCACAUCCCAUCUCCCUUCCCCCUCCACAAAAAGCUCCCUCACUUUCAUAUUAGGAUCAACAAAGUCCCUAGUGUCCUCCAUCCAAAAACUAUGAUCCAGAGGCAUCCACGGAUGUGAUAAUACACCGAUAGUUUCCCCAUUCCCUACUCUCCACCGUACCCCCUGUUUUAAUACCCCAAUAGCAACAUGAAUACUCCUCCACACAUAACUAGGACGCCUACCAAGAGGAGCAUCCAAAAAAUCCCUAUUAUGGAAAUAUUUGGCUUUGAAAAGUUUAGAAAAAAGAGCAUCGGGCUCCGUCAUAAGAUGCCACCCUUGCUUCACUAGCAUGGCCAUAUUAAAACAAUGAAGAUCCCUGAAACCCAUACCACAUUCCCUUUUGCUACAACACAUCCUCUCCCUCGCUAACCAAUGAAUCCCUCUACGCCCUCCUUUCUUCUCCCCCCACCAAUACUUGUUCAUCCUUUUUUGCAUCGCUUCACAUGUAGAAAGAGGUAUUUUAAACACACUCAUACAAUAAGUAGGAACAGCUUGCACAAUCGACUUAAUUAAUACCUCCUUUCCGACUCUAGAGAGGAAUCUGUUAGACCAAUUGCAAAUCCUUUUUUUCAAGUCUGUCCUGAAGGAAGCCAAACACCUGUUUUUUCGAUUUGCCAAUGAGAGAUGGAAGACCAAGAUAAGUACCCCCACCAAUUGAACCAGCAACAUUCAAAAUAGUAGAGAUAUUAGUCAUCAACUCUCUACUCAUAUUCGAGCUGAAAAAGAUACCCAAUUUGUUCAAAUUAAUGGCCUGACUCGAUGCUCUCUCAUAUUUCUUCAAAAUAUCAUUGACCUCCUCUGCUUCCUAUAAAGAACCCUCAAAAAAGAAAAAAGAAUCAUCCGCAAAUAGCAAGUGACAGUGAUUUUUGCAAGUGUACAAAUCACAACAAGUGAUAUAGAGUGAAAGAGUAUCGUAUCCAUAGGGAUUGUGUAUCAAGUACCAAAAUUUUGUUAACCUAUUAUUAUUUAAACGACAAUAAGAGAGAUUUGUUAUAAGGAAAGUAAAUUUGAAAAUUAAACAGAAAAUAUCAAGCAACAAAAUUUAGAUGAAAAGGAAUCAAGGAUUUAAAACUACUAGGGAAUUUGGUUUCACUUAAUUCUAUCCAAUUUAUUUUAUUAGUCUGUUAAUCAAUUUUAAUUGUUCAAGUAGGGGAAACAACCCUAGAAUCACUAACAAGCUCUCUCGAUGUAUUGUUGGCUAUUCUAAUCCGGUCUAAUUACCUAUCUUUCAAUAGCACAAUCAAACAUGAAUUAAAUCAUUAAGUUUUAUGGUUUGUUUUGUGAAUUCACAACCUAAGGUCAUUAACUUGUGAAAACCCCCCAUGAGUCAAACCGUAUAGCUUCCGCAUCAAGUUAUUGUUCUCAUGUAAUUUAUUAUCUUUUUUGUAUCAAAAACCCUUCUUCCGAUAGUGAUUAAUAAAAUAAUUCAAUCCAGGGGAAUAAACUCUGCCUGGAAGCUUUACGUUCAAUAAUAAAGUAUAGCAAGAAUAAGGAAAAGCAAAUCUAAUAAUAUAAUUUGGAAUCGAAUUAAAUUACAUCAAAUCCCUAGCUUAGGAGUUUAGCUAGACAUAGUAAUUAAAUAAAACUCAAUAAUACUUGAAUAAAUCUUCAUAAUCAGUAAUGAACAAUGAAAAUAAAAACAAGAUUAAGAGUUUAGAGAUAAAAACUAGGCAACAACUAUGUAGAUGACUUCCUUGAAUCUUUGCACAAAUCUUGGAUGCUUGAGGUCUUUUAGAGAAAGAGAAUUAUGUAGAAAAUUAUUGAAAUUCGAGAUGCCUCAUAAUGAGAAGCUCUCCUCUUUAUAUAGACCUUCUGGAGAGAAAUCUGACUUUGUUUAGGAAACAGAAUCCUAAUUAAGUACAAAAUCUUCUUUAGGAGAUCAUGACUGUUUAAGCUUUGGAUUUCUUCUUAGUUAGGACUCUUUUCUCUUCCUAAAUAGGUUUAGAUCUUGUUUAGCACGUUUAAGAAAAUAUCCGAGGCGGGCCCAUGUGAGAAAAAGAUUGGCUCGCAUUUUUAGCUUAAGACAACUCUGCCUUCAUAGCACGGGCGUGCCAUAUAGCACAACUUGGGCAUGCUAGAGUCUGGAACUAUGAAUGGUUGAGCACAGGCCAUGCUAUGCAACACGCUCAGAGGAGUCCUUGUGGCACGGGCGUGCCAUUUAGCACAGGUAAGGCGUGCUUGGCUCUGUCCUUCGAAGAUGGAUUUCAUCAUGGGCGUGCUAGGCAAGCACGCCUUGAGUUUCUUUUGGGCACGGGCGUGCCAUUUAGCACGGUCUAGCCGUGCUAUCCCCUGACUUUCCACUUGAUUUUCUUUAGCUUUAGCACGGGCGUGCUAAAAUGCACGGGAUGGGCGUGCUCAAGCCUGAGUAUUUUACUUUGUAAUGCUCUUUUCUGUGCCAAAACCCUGCAAAUUUCUUUCAGAUCAAGUGGAUUAUGAUUCAAAGAAGCUUUCAACAAAAUUAUAAUAAAAACGAAGUAAAAAUAAACUAAAGUGAUAAAUUUUACUAAAAUUCUAAAUAAAAACUAUACUAAAAAAUACUAUAAUUGUGACACCUAUCAAAAUUCCCCAAACUGAAACCAUUGCUUGUCCUCAAGCAACAAAACUAAAAGUAGGAGAACAAAAUAAUCUGACAAAACUAGCUUGCUAUGGUUGGUGAUAAUUAUAAACUCCAAAAGAUAUCACAGUUGUUAAUAUGUGAAUAAAUCAAUUGUUUUCCAUGCUAAUUAUAUUUAAGCGAAAAUUCACUAUUUUUGAUAAAACACAUUCCUUGAUUUAAACAUAAGUUAAAAGGAUUUUCAACACUAAUAUAUAUUCAACUUAUGAUAAAUAUGUUAUGAAUAAUCUACAAAAAUUAUUUAACCUUUUUAAAUAAGAUUUUUAAUAGUUUUAAAUUUAGCAUUCCCAUAUGCAAAAAUUAGUCAUCCCUUCUCCACAAUUGAAAUGCAUAUGAUUUUAAAAGAUCAAAAGGUCUUUAUUUUGGGUUGUAAUGGGGUUUUCGGGGUAUAAUUUUAGCUGAUCAAAGAAAAGGGAUAAAAGAUAGACAAAGGGUGCAAAAGAAUGUAUAAUAUCCUGAUUUCCAUUCUAUCAAAACCAUUUGUUUUAAGGGAGUUUCUGUCUUGAAAUUCUUUACUAGCUUGUGAUAUAGAGAUAUUUUGGCAAGGUCUUUUUGUAAUAUUUUGCUAAUUUCUUCUUUGCACUUAAAUUCCCUAACUUGAAUUCUUUGAUUGAUUGCUUUUUCUAUGGGGUAUUUCUCUUUUGAUAUUUCUUACUUGGUACACUUGCUAGUGUCCAUGAAAUUUUCUCCCUUUUGUCGCUAUGUUUUAAUGAAAGCCAAAUCCUUCAAUUAUACAUUAUUGCACUCAGGGUAAGAAUUGAAAUUGGUUUAAUGGCUAGGUUUAAUAAGGGUGAACAAGAAAAUUUUAUAGGCUUCAAAAUUGGUUGCAAAAGUCAUAUUUUNNNNNNNNNNNNNNNNNNNNAAAUAUGAAGUUCAACAAAGAAUGUCUAAAUCAUCUCUUUCUAAAUGUAAGCAUUUAAAAUUUUUGCCUCAAAGGGAGUUCUAAUUUGUUCUAGGAAUGCCAAGGUUAUAUAAGUUUAGAUUAAACAUGCCUAUAUAUCAUAAAUUUCAUAAAAAUUAGUGUUUAUAAUCUUAGAAACAUAUAGUUAAAUCAAUGAAUCAUGUUAAGUCAAAAAUUUCAAAUUUAGAACUUAAGUAUACUAGAAUAGAAAAUCAACUAAAUUCAUCACAUAUUACUAAUUCGUGACAACCUUCAAGCCUGCUUAUAAUCAUUCUAACCAUGUUAAGCAAAAAUAAAAUUUUAGCUAAAAUUUCCUUCCCCCAAUUUAAUCAAACACAUUGUCCCCAAUGUGUACAAAAUAAAUUGAUUUCCCCAAACUUAUUGCAUUAACAGAAGAAAAGAGAUAAGAAAGUGGAGUAAACAUUACCAAAAUUGUAUUGAAAAAUACAAUAGAGCUGGGUGCUGGAACAUGUCAUAGCUAAAAGUCCAAAAUAAACAUUAAGAGAAAAAAACUACUAAAGAUAUAAUAGUCAAAGUAAAAUCAAAAGAAAAAUUCAACACAAAACAAUCAAUGUAUGGGAAUAAAAUCAAAACAGGAAGAACAAAUAAAGAGUCAAAAUCCAUCAAGGCUCCGGUGGUGGAGGUGGAUGCGGUUGUUAGAGCUGGAUAACAGUCUGGAGUUGGCCUUGCAAUGUAUCCAUACGAGACUCGAGGCUCCCAUGCAUAAUCUCGAUGGAUUGGAAACGGUCUACAAUCAUAAAUUCCAUCCCGUUAAGGCAUGUGUCAAAUAUGUUCAUUCGAGACAUCAUCCUCGCAAGGACUUCAUCGUUGGACAUGCUUGACGCUCCUUGAAAGGAUGGACCAGCACCGAAAGUACCUGCACCAAAAGAAGAACCAAAAGGCGGCGGAUUAUCCUCCUCCACAUCAGCACCACCUGCUGCCUCGGCUUCCUCAUCGUCAGAACUGUCCUCUCAAGCACCUACUACCCGAUAAGCAUCUCCAACCUUUUCGAUCAAUUUCAUGUGGAUCAUGACAUCCAAAUCUAAUCUGGUAACCUUCCCCCCUCCAACACUAUCAUAGAUUGGUCUAGCCGGGUUCCAGACUCGAAAAUACGCAGCAAUGCGGGUCACAAAACACCCUAUCAUGAUAGCCCCUUUAUCUGCUCUAGCCACCUUUGCACAUCUUUGGCAUAGCCAAUACCCAACAUUAAGCAAAACUCCCUGUUCAAUCGCCUAUAUAAAGUAUAAUACAUUCAAGCCUAAAACUUCAUCACUUUCACUCCUUCCAAAAAUAGUGUUAGACAAGAAUGUGUGAAUCUGCCUUAGGGCAGGAUUUCUUAGUUUGGAUGCCUUUGAAUACCUAGGGUUGUAAUUAAUUUCAUCGGUCAAGUCUUUCCAUUAUUGCGUUCAUGAAAAUCCUUAGAUAUUUGGAUUUGAGCGUUUUCCGUGGGGAAUCCAAAAAUAUGGCUAACUUCAUUCACAGAUAAAUCAAAAGUUCUACCAAGAAGCCUAAAGUGAAUUUUGCUUGGGGGAGAGGUAGGCAAAAAUCGAAUGAAAGAGGAAUAAGAACUCAAAAAUUCUAAAGUUAAAGGUGCAUAAACUAGAUCCUUCAUCUCAAUAAACUAUCCCCAUCCUAUAUGCCUAAGUGGUUCUAUCACAGCAUCUCGAAGACCGACUUGCGCUAAGGAAUUUUCAUCAAUGAAUUUAUUGGGAAAAAUAGAGCGAAGGGAUAGUUUAUUGUACCUCUCUUGUUGCUCAGGUGAAGCGAUCUCAAAUGGAGGAGGAGUAGGCGUCGAAGGAGGUGGAAUCGGUAGAGGAGUAGUGGAGGGUCAAGCGAUUGGCCGUUGUCUAGCGGCAACCGAGGAAGCGGGUCUGCUACGCUUGUAUCGAGGAGGCAUGGUGAAGGAGAACGGUGUAAAAAUUUGGUAUGUAGUGUGUUUGAUUUGAGAGAAAAGGGAGAAAAAGAGAGAAAAUUAAAGAGAAAAUUGGGAGAGGAGAGGUUGACGGCUAGGGCGUGCGAGAGGGAAGUGAGGGUUGGUUAGGGCAUGCGCUUUAAAUAGAGGCGCCAUUUAAUGCGCACGUCUGGUCGUGGCACGGGUGUGCUCCUUGGUACGGGCGUGCUCCUUGGCACGGCCAGACCGUGCGCGCUAAUCUUGUUUGGAGGCGGUUAGGGCACGGGCAUGCUAGAGGACACGCUUGGGGCUGGAGGACACGCUUGAGGCGUGCUUGCUUUUGUCCUGCAACAGAAAAAAAAUGAAGCAUACCUGGCACGGUUAGGGCAUGCUCGCCUCUAACUCUCAAAGCAAAAUUUCCCUUCGGAUCGCACGGGCGUGCUACUGGACACGCCUGGGGCGUGCUUGCCUCUGACUCUCAAAGUGGUUUUUCUCCAUUCAUGAGGCACGGGCGUGCUGUGGUGCACGGUCAGGGUGUGCCCGCCUCUGACUCUCUAAGCAAAAUUGGUUUUUAUGGCACACGGGCGUGUCCUGGGACACAGUCUGGGCAUGCUUAGCUAUCAUAUCAUGGCACAGGCGUGCCAUUUAGCACGUCCAGGGCGUGCUGACCUGUGGAUUUUAACUUGAUCCUGAAAAAUUCUGACUAAAGCAAAAGAACAAUUAUGGCGAAAAUUUGGGAAAUUUUAUAAUAGAAAUAAUAGAAAUAAAAUGGAAACAAUAAUUGGAAAAAGAAAGAAAACAACAUGGGUUGUCUACCACAAGCGCUUUUGUUUUAACGUCGUUUAAGCUCGAUGUACUCAACCUAGUUUAGGUCAGACGAGACUGAUGGUAUUCUUGAUAGGAUCAAAGUUGUCAUUUUGAUAAACUUUUAAUCUUUGAGCAUUAACUUUGAAACUUCGAUUAGACUUACCAUCCACUAUUUUGAUGCCUCAUGUGGAAAAAUCUCUUUAAUUGUGAAUGGACCAGACCAUCUGAAGUGCAAUUUACAAGGAAAAAGGUGGAGUCUGGAGUUAUAGAGCAAUACCUGUUGGCCUACUUUUAGAUUCCUCAUGAUAAUGUGCUUAUCGUGCCAUUGUUUGGUGAAAUCCUUAUAUAUUUUGGUGCUCUCAUAAGCAUGGAGGUGCAUUUUAUCCAUCAUAUUCAAUUGUAGCAACCGUUUUUGACCAGCCUCUUUUGCAUUGAAGUUAAGAAAUUGAAUUGCCCAAAAUGCCUUAUGCUCUAAUUCAACAGGAAGAUGACAAGUCUUACCGUAAACCAUGCAAUAUGGAGACAUACCGAUUGGUGUCUUGAAUGCAGUUCUGUAAGCCCAUAGAGCAUCAUCUAGCUUCUUGGACCAGUCCUUCCUUGAUUGUCCAACAGUUGUCUCCAGGAUCUUCUUGAUUUCUCUGUUGGUAACCUCUACUUGUCCACUUGUUUGAGGAUGAUAUGGAGUGCCUACACGAUGAGUAACACCAUAUUUUGCAAGAAGGGAAUCUAAAUAUUUGUUGCAAAAGUGCUUACCUCCGUCCGUGAUUAUUGCUCUAGGAGUGCCAUGACGUGUAAAAAUAUACUUCUUGAUAAACUUCAUUACACUCUUGGCAUCAUUGUUUGGAAGAGCAACAGCUUCUGCCCACUUUGAUACAUAGUCCAUCGCAACUAGAAUGUAUUGGUUGGAGUAUGAUGAUGGAAAAGGCCCCAUGAAGUCCAUACCACAAACAUCGAAGAUUUCGACUUCAAGGAUGCUAUUUAAGGGCAUCUCAUGUCUCUUCGAAAUGUUACCUAGUCUUUGACAGCGAUCACAAAGGCGAACAAAGUUAAAGGCAUCUUUAAACAGGUUACGCCAAUACAAACCGCUUUCUAAUAUACGUGCUACUGUCUUGUUUGCUCCAAAGUGUCCUCCACAUUCCAUUGAAUGGCAAAAUUUAAGAACACUUUCCAUCUCUGUUUACGGUAUGCAUCACCGGAAUAGCUGAUCACUAUAAUAUUUGAACAGAAAGGGCUCCUCCCAAUAGUAGUAUUUGAUAUCAUGGAAGAAUUUUUUCUUUUGUUGAUAGGAAAAGUUGGGAGGGGGAAUUUUGCAAACAAGGUAGUUGACUAUAUCAGCAUACCAGGGGGUUUGUGUAUUUGCCAACAGUAGAAGUUGCUCAUGGGGAAGGUUCUCAUUGAUUUGUAACUCUGUUGUAUCUUCUUCCCCCAAUUCCAGCCUGGAAAGGUGGUCAGCCACAAGAUUUUUGGUUCCCUUUUUGUCGAGAAUUUUCAGAUCAAAUUCCUGCAAUCAAGGCACCCAACGAAUUAGUCUCGGUUUUGCAUCUUUCUUUUCUAGCAAAUAUUUGAUNNNNNNNNNNNNNNNNNNNNNNNNNNNNNNNNNNNNNNNNNNNNNNNNNNNNNNNNNNNNNNNNNNNNNNNNNNNNNNNNNNNNNNNNNNNNNNNNNNNNNNNNNNNNNNNNNNNNNNNNNNNNNNNNNNNNNNNNNNNNNNNNNNNNNNNNNNNNNNNNNNNNNNNNNNNNAACAGCUCCAAUAGCAUGAUCACUAGCAUCACACAUAAGCUCAAAAGGAAGAGUCCAAUCUGGUGUAGUAAUGAUAGGUGCUGAGAUCAACUCCUUCUUUAACCUAUUAAAAGCAUUCAAACACUCUUUGUCAAAAUUAAAAGGAACAUCUUUAAUUAAUAAAUUACAAAGAGGUUUUGUGAUUUUUGAGAAGUCUUUGAUGAAUCUCUUGUAGAAUCCUACAUGACCAAAAAAAAUUUCUUAUUCCCUUCACUGAGUUAGGGGGAGGUAGUUUUUUAAUUACCUCGAUUUUUGCUUUGUCUACUUCAAUCCCCUUUUGAGAGAUCUUAUGNNNNNNNNNNNNNNNNNNNNNNNNNNNNNNNNNNNNNNNNNNNNNNNNNNNNNNNNNNNNNNNNNNNNNNNNNNNNNNNNNNNNNNNNNNNNNNNNNNNNNNNNNNNNNNNNNNNNNNNNNNNNNNNNNNNNNNNNNNNNNNNNNNNNNNNNNNNNNNNNNNNNNNNNNNNNNNNNNNNNNNNNNNNNNNNNNNNNNNNNNNNNNNNNNNNNNNNNNNNNNNNNNNNNNNNNNNNNNNNNNNNNNNNNNNNNNNNNNNNNNNNNNNNNNNNNNNNNNNNNNNNNNNNNNNNNNNNNNNNNNNNNNNNNNNNNNNNNNNNNNNNNNNNNNNNNNNNNNNNNNNNNNNNNNNNNNNNNNNNNNNNNNNNNNNNNNNNNNNNNNNNNNNNNNNNNNNNNNNNNNNNNNNNNNNNNNNNNNNNNNNNNNNNNNNNNNNNNNNNNNNNNNNNNNNNNNNNNNNNNNNNNNNNNNNNNNNNNNNNNNNNNNNNNNNNNNNNNNNNNNNNNNNNNNNNNNNNNNNNNNNNNNNNNNNNNNNNNNNNNNNNNNNNNNNNNNNNNNNNNNNNNNNNNNNNNNNNNNNNNNNNNNNNNNNNNNNNNNNNNNNNNNNNNNNNNNNNNNNNNNNNNNNNNNNNNNNNNNNNNNNNNNNNNNNNNNNNNNNNNNNNNNNNNNNNNNNNNNNNNNNNNNNNNNNNNNNNNNNNNNNNNNNNNNNNNNNNNNNNNNNNNNNNNNNNNNNNNNNNNNNNNNNNNNNNNNNNNNNNNNNNNNNNNNNNNNNNNNNNNNNNNNNNNNNNNNNNNNNNNNNNNNNNNNNNNNNNNNNNNNNNNNNNNNNNNNNNNNNNNNNNNNNNNNNNNNNNNNNNNNNNNNNNNNNNNNNNNNNNNNNNNNNNNNNNNNNNNNNNCAGGCUUGCAGUCUUCUUCCAUCAGGAUCUUAUGCAUGCAUAUACUCGGGCUUAUCCCUUGUAGGUCUGAAAUUGACCACCCUAGUGCUUUCUUGUGCUUUCGAAAAACCUGCAACAACCUUUCCUCUUGAUCAAGCGUUAAGUGAGAAGAAAUAAUAACAGGAAAAGAAUGAUUCUCACCUAAGAAUGCAUGUUUUAAAUGAGGUGGAAGUUGUUUCAGUUCUUGUUUUGGAGGUUCACUUUCUUUCUCAUUCAUGGUGUUUGAUUCAUUAAUGUCAUCUUUAGUAUGCAAAGUGGUUUCCACACAUUCAUCAACAACAUCAAUUCGAAAGCAAUCAUUAUAGUCCAUANNNNNNNNNNCGAUUUAAGAACAUCAAAGACAAUCUCUUCCUGUCCAACCCUUAAAGUUAAUUUACCUUCGUAAACAUCAAUAAAUGCUCUUGCAGUUGCAAGAAAAGGCCUCCCAAGGAUUAGAGAUCCUUCCCUNNNNNNNNNNUCAAUGUCAAGAAUAACAAAAUCAACAGGAAAGAUGAAUGUACCUACCUUUACAAGCACAUCUUCUACAAUUCCUCUAGGAUAUUUGAUCGAUCGAUCCACUAAUUGUAGAGACAUCCUUGUUGGUUUGAAUUCUCCCAUACUUAGCAUCUUAAAAACUUCAUAAAAUAUAAGAUUAAUGCUAGCACCUAAAUCUACCAAAGCUUUUUCAAAGUCAAGAUUACCAAUAUUGCAAGGGAUAGAAAAACUUCCUGGGUCAUUCAACUUUGGAGGCAGUUUAUUUUGGAUAAUCACACUGCAUUCCUAAGUUAACAUUACCGUUCCUUGAUCAUCGAUUUUUCAUUUCUUGCUUAGGAUAUCUUUUAGGAAUUUCGCAUAGUUAGGCAUUAGAGCAAGAGCUUCAGCAAAAGGAAUGUUGAUUUGAAGCUUUUUGAAUACAUCCAUAAACUUUAGGAAGCUCUUGUCAUCUUGUGCUUUCUUUAACCUUUGUAGGAAGGGGACAGGUGGAACAUAGGGUUUUACUUUUUCUUGUUCUUCUAGGUCAAUAAUGGGGACCUUUGGCUGUUCUUCCACGUCCUUUUCUUUCUUUGGUGGCUCUUCUAUUUGUUUGCCACUUCUCAGCGUGAUAGCCUAUACCUGCUCUUUAGGAUUCUUUUCAGUGUUGCUAGGUAAUGUACCUUAAGGUCGAGAUGCCAUCAUGUGUGCAAAUUAUCCUAGCUGAAUCUCCAGAUUUCUUAUCGCCGCCUGUUGGAUUUUAUGGUUUUCUCUAAUUUCAUUCAUGAAAUCCAUAUGUGAUUUAGAAAGAGCAGUGAGGAGGUCAUCAUAAGAUUUCUUCUCUUGAGGAAGGAAACCUGGUGUUGUGUUCAAGGCAUUGUUAGGAUUUCCAUAGGAUAGAUUAGGACGGUUCCUCAAUCUAUUAUCGUAUGAAUUGGAGUAUGGGUAAUUUUUUCUUCCUUGAUUCAUCACAUAGUUUACUUACUCCAAGGAUUGUGGAUUCAAAGAGUCUAUCAUGCAUUCUCCAAUCCCAUAUUGUCCAUUGCACCUAUCACAAACUUGCAUAAUAGAAUUUACAGGAUUGGUAGUUAACAGGUCCAGUUUUCUUACCAUGUUAUCUACCUUGGCAUUAAGUGCUGUGAUAGCAUCUAUUUCAUAGACUCCUGCAGUUCUCUUCCUUUUGAAAUUGUUUUGGUAAUUGCUGUUGCUUGCCAUCUCCUCUAUCAAUUCAUAUGCCUCAUCAAUUCCCUUCUUCUCAAAGGAUCCUCCUGCAGCUACAUCUAAAGUGAUUUUGAUAUUAGGAGAUAAUGCAUUAUAGAAAGUUUGUACCUGUGAGCACUUAGGCAAACUAUGAUGUGGGCACUUUCUUAACAAGUCCUUGAAUCUUUCCCAAGCUUCAUACAAGCUCUCUUGAUCAUGGUGACCAAAUGUCAUUAUCUCAUUGCGCAGUUUUGUGGUUUUUGAAUAUGGGAAGAAUUUUGCUAAGAACCUUUGGGCUAAUUCUUCCCAUGUUGUGAAACUUCCAGCGGGGCAUGAUUGUAACCAAGACCGCGCCUUGUCCCUAAUAGUGAAAGGAAAAAGUCUUAAUUUAAUUGCAUCUUCGGAAACACUAUUCUAUUUGAAAGUAUCACAAAUUUCCAGGAAAUUUGUGAUAUGAGCAUUUGGAUCUUCACUAGGCAAACCCCCAUAUUGGAUUGAGGUGGAAAGCAUUUGGAUAAUUGCGGUUUAAUUUCAAAAUUAUUAGCUUCCACCCUAGAUCUUAUAAUACUCGAGGUUGUCCCAUUAAGAUUAGGUGUUGUGUAGUCUCGCAAGGUGCGAAUUGGAUGUUGAGGUGGAGGUCCAUUCAUGUUCUCGUUUUUGUUCUCGUUGACCAUGUCUACUUGUUGUUCGGGUUUUAUUUCACGUGCUCUUCUUGCAGCAUUGUUCCUAUGAUAAGUUCUUUCAAUUUUUGGAUCAAAGACUAGAGGUUCAGUCCUUCUUGAUCUUCUUUGCAUAAACACCUGAAAAUAAUUCUUAGAAGAAAAGAUAAAUUUAAAACAAAAGAAUGUCUAAAUUAACAAUAGGGUAAUUAGUAUUGAUAUUGACAACGGCAAUCCCCGGCAAUGGCGCCAAGAACUUGAAAGUAAUUUUCGCAAGUGUACAAAUCGCAACAAGUGAUAUAGAGUGAAAGAGUAUCGUAUCCACAGGGAUUGUGUAUCAAGUACCAGAAUUUUGUUAACCGAUUAUUAUUUAAACGACAAUAAGAGAGAUUUGUUAUAAGGAAAGUAAAUUCGAAAAUUAAACAGAAAACAUCAAGCAACAAAAUUUAGAUGAAAGGGAAUCAAGGAUUUAAAACUACUAGGGAAUUUGAUUUCACUUAAUUCUAUCCAAUUUAUUUUAUUAGUCUGUUAAUCAAUUUUAAUUGUUCAAGUAGGGGAAACAACCCUAGAAUCACUAACAAGCUCUCUCGAUGUAUUGUUAGCUAUUCUAAUCCGGUCUAAUUACCUAUCUUUCAAUAGCGCAAUCAAACAUGAAUUAAAUCAUUAAGUUUUAUGGUUUGUUUUGUGAAUUCACAACCUAAGGUCAUUAACUUGUGAAAAUCCCCCAUGAGUCAAACCGUAUAGCUUCCGCAUCAAGUUAUUGUUCUCAUAUAAUUUAUUAUCUUUUUCGUAUCAAAAACCCUUCUCCCGAUAGUGAUUAAUAAAAUAAUUCAACCCAGGGGAAUAACUCUGCCUGGAAUCUUUAAGUUCAAUAAUAAAUUAUAGCAAGAACAAGGAAAAGCAAAUCUAAUAUUAUAAAUUGGAAUCGAAUUAAAUUACGUCAAAUCCCUAGCUUAGGAGUUUAGCUAGACAUAGUAAUUAAAUAAAACUCAAUAAUAAUUGAAUAAAUCUUCAUAAUCAGUAAUGAACAAUGAAAAUAAAAACAAGAUUAACAGUUUAGAGAGAAAAACUAGGCAACAACUAUGUAGAUGACUUCCUUGAAUCUUGGUACAAAUCUUGGAUGCUUAAGGUAUUUUAGAGAGAGAGAAUUAUGUAGAAAAUUAUUGAAAUUCGAGAUGCCUCACAAUGAGAAGCUCUCCUCUUUAUAUAGACCUUCUGGAGAGAAAUCAGACUCUGUUUAGGAAACAAAAUCCUAGUUAAGUACAAAAUCUUCUUUAGGAGAUCAUGACUGUUUAGGCUUUGGAUUUCUACUUAGUUAGGACUCUUUUCUCUUCCUAAAUAGGUUUAGAUCUUGUUUAGCACGUUUAGGAAAAUAUCUGAGGCGGGCCCAUGUGAGAAAAAGAUUGGCUCGCGUUUUUAGCUCAAGUCAGCUCUGCCUUCAUAGCAAGGGCGUGCCAUAUAGCACGGCUUGGGCGUGCUAGAGUCUAGAACUAUGAAUGGUUGAGCACAGGUCGUGCUAUGCAACACACUCAGAGGAGUCCUUGUGGCACGGGCGUGCCAUUUAGCAUGGGUAAGGCGUGCUUGGCUCUGUCCUUCGAAGAUGGAUUUCAUCAUGGGCGUGCUAGGCAAGCACGCCCUGAGUUUCUUUUGGGCACGGGCGUGCCAUUUAGCACGGUCUAGCCGUGCUAUCCCCUGACUUUCCACUUGAUUUUCUUUAGCUUUAGCAUGGGAUGGGCAUGCUCAAGCCUGAGUAUUUUACUUUGUAAUGCUCUUUUCUGUGCCAAAACCCUACAAAUUUCUUUCAGAUCAAGUGGAUUAUGAUUCAAGGAAGCUUUCAACAAAAUUAUAAUAAAAACGAAGUAAAAAUAAACUAAAGUGAUAAAUUUUACUAAAAUUCUAAAUAAAAACUAUACCACAAAAUACUAUAAUUGUGACACCUAUCAGCAAGUGUGUGAUGCUCGGAUAAUUCCUUCCCACCUUCACACCUUGCAAUCUACCUCUCCUUUUAGCAUCCUGAAAUAAUAAAGACAAACCCUCCGCACAGAAUAAAAACAAGUAAGGCGACAAAGGAUCGCCCUGUCUCAAACCUCUACCAGGACGAAUAGGGCCCACCUCCUUACCAUUCAAUAACACAGAGUACUUCACAUCAGUUACACAUAACAUCAUCCACUUCACCCACUUCUCACAAAAACCCAUUCUCAGCAUCAUACCCCUCAAAAACUCCCAAUUAACCCUGUCGUAUGCUUUUGAAAUAUCAAUUUUUAAAGCACAAGCACCCCCUUGAUUCUUCUUACUUUUGAUGUUAUGAAUUAAUUCAAAAGCCACCACCACAUUAUCAGAAAUUAACCUCCCAGGAACGAAUGCGGAUUGACAUUCAUCAAUAAUUAAAGGAAGAAUUUUUUUUCAACCUAUUCACUAAAGAUUUUGCUACAAUUUUAUACAAAACAUUACAAAGCGAAAUAGGUCUAUACUCUUUUAACGACUUAGGAUUAUCACAUUUAGGAAGCAACACAAUAUGGGUAUCUGUCAAAGUCUUUGGGAAGGUACCAGUGUCAAGCCAUUGUUUGCAGUCCUUCCAAAUAUCAUCUCCAAUCACAUGCCAAAAUUUUUGAAAGAACGUCGAAUUUAUGCCAUCUGGUCCAGGUGAUUUGUCAGGUUGUAUAUCAAAUGCAGCUUCUCUGAUCUCAUCCAACGUAAAUGGAGCCGUAAGAAUAUUGUUCUGGAUAGCUGUCACCUUUGGUUGAACAAAAUUAAAAAUUUCAAUGCAAACUGAUUCUUCUGCACUAUAAACAGUGGAAAAAUAAUUCAAUGUAAGUUGUUCCAAACUAUCAUUAUCUGUAACUAUCUCGCCAUCCUCAUUUUCCAACUUCAUAAUUUUAUCUCUCCUUUUUCUAGUCUUUAUUGAAGCAUGUAAAUAUUUGGUGUUUUGGUCCGCACAAGAAAGCCAUCUCUGUUUCCCUAUUUGUCUCAUUCGGCACUCUUCUUUGAAUAGAAUAAUAUUCCAUUCAUUUUUUAGUCGUUGAACAUUGACAUCAUCAAACCCAUCUCUUGCCUCUUCUAUACGUUGCUUUAAUACCCUUUUUAAAACUUUUAGUAGAAUGAUUUAAAACUUUUUGACAAUAUUGAUUAAACUCAUUUUUUCACCAAAACUAAAAGAUAUAUAUUCCAUAGAAAUCAUUUUAGCUAAUUCUUUUUUUUAAAUUUUUUUUUAGAAUAUUGAAAUAAGGAAACGUUAGAAGAUUUGUAUCCGAAAAUUUGUGUUUGAGCUCGAUCAACUCAUAUUUUGUCAGAUGUUUUGCCUCCAAAUGCUUCCAAAAUGAUCCACAACCACCCGCUUGUUUAUGUUUGUAAGAUGCUCCACAAUAAUCAAAUUACAUAAAAAAUUUAUCGCUUUUAAAUUUCUUCGUGAAAUGAAUAGCUAAUAUGUUGAAACUUUGUCUUGGUCGUCGAACAACUUAUGUACCUUGACUUCUUCUUGUCGUAAGUUGCCUUCAUCAUUAAAUUCGGUUAUAGAGUAAUAUAGAGUAGAGAGUAGUAGAGUGUAGAGAGAUAAUUUUGUGUAAAGUGAUUAUAAAUUAAAAAGGGGUAUUUAUAGUAAAUCCAAAAAAUCAACUUUUCAAAAAUACCCUUAAAACUAGUCAUUAUAUAGCCAUCUAUAGUUGUUAGGAGGGUAAAUUUGGGGAUUUCACAAAAAUAUUUGAAAAAAUUAAAAAAAGCUUUACACUUAAAUAUUCAAAUUUUUUUGGAACUGCUAGAUCGAAUAGUCGAUUCUAACCAGAUGGAAAAAUCGCCGGUUCCGACCAGUUCACAGUUCCUCAUAAAUUGGAAUUAGAAUCGGACCGCAGACCCUCGAUUUUGGUUCCUCACGUUUCGAUUUUGGUUCCCACUGAUUCCAAACCGGCGGUUUUGAUUUUGAAAACCUUGAAAUGGCUACCCCUAUAUUGAACUGAAGGCCAAUAAAGAAUAGGCUCUCCAAUACUAGAAAUUCAUCCAACCUUAAAACUUACGAUUUUGUUUAGUAAUUCUAAAUGAAGUACAAUGUAAUAUCAUUAAAAUUAGAGAGACUAGUGACUAAUGUGUCUCUCCAAAUGUAUGAUGGCCUCAGUUUUAGGUAUGGUUUGAUUAGAGACUCAACCAGAGCUUUCUUGAACGGUUAAGAGCUUGUUAUGGAAAGUCUUCUAUUUUUGGAGCUGAGUUAUGGUCUAUCUUUGAGGGUUUCACACUGCUUUAUUUCAGAGGUUUAACCAUAUUCUUAUGUAAUAGACAUCCAUUUAUAUUAAUGACUAAACUGUAAUAUGCCAAGGACUUAAGUUGUAAUAAGAACUGGGGAAAUUGAUAACUUGUCAAGAUAGACUUGGAUAUUAGGAGAUUUUCUCUCCUAAUAUCUCGCUCAGUUUGGUAUAUGCCACCAAUCAUGUAUCUUUCCAUAUAAACCAGUCUUUAAGGCCACGGGAAGAUUAAUGUCAUUAUUAUCAAUAUAAUUAUUUGUAGAGAAAUCAAUCAUUCAUUCAAUUAUUGUUGUGAUAAUUUUAACAAAAUCAAAUUGGUGCAGUGAGCGUGGAACACACCUCACAUUUCUCAGUUUGAGAAAAACCUCAUUUUUUAACAAAAAUAUAUAUAAGACAAUUUCAAGCAUUUGAACAAUCACCAACGCAGAUAGAUGAACCCCCACAGCUGGAGCUAACGAGACUGGUAGGACUAAACCUUCAAUUGGCCCAAUUGCUCAGGCUCUUCUAAUUUCGCUUUAUUGGAACCUUAAGCCACUAUGAUGCUAGCCUAAGCACACAAUAACUUUAUAGUUGUGCUAUAACGAUCGAUGGCCACUUCAGGACCCCUGGUGUUGCAAGUAUCCACGGAUGAUCUGAUAACGUGAAGGCGUGGCAAUGUUGCUAUGGAGGAAGGAGUUGCUGUAGACAAGCAAAUAAUGGAUAUGCCCCAGGACACCGAAUCAUCUUGGUGUUCUGAUACUUAGAAAGAAUGAUAACACAUUGUGCAAUCCAUUUGGGAAACCUCUACAACAUCACUGAGGAUGACUUCCAAACAAGAACCCUUCAAGUCCUCCAAGUUAAAAUUGCAAAGGAUAAUACUGAUUAUGGGCUAAGAAACAAUUCCCCCCUCAAACAUCAUGCCAGUAAACUUUCCACCAAAAUUGAAGAUGCUUAUCUUUAAGACAUAUGAUGGAACAACUGAAUCGAGGAGUCAACUAGCUAAUUUUAAAAUAGUGAUGCGUAUCCAGACCAGUGUGGAUGCAUUGCUAUGCUUAACUUAAGAUUGGUUCCAGAUACUAAAGAAAAGAUCAAUCAAUUCCUUUCACACCUAGUUGCCUCAUUCAAAGCUUAGUUUAUCACCUAUAUACGGAGCAAGAAGAUCUCAUCAGUCCUUAUUAAUCUUAAGAGAAUAGAGGAUGAGUCAUUGAGACAUUGCCUAUCCAUAUUCCAAAAGCUGGGUAUAAAAGUGGAAGAUCUAAACUCUAAAUCGCCUUUAGUUCCAUGGCAAAAACUAUAAGUAUGGUAAACUAUUUGACUCCCUUAAUAUUGAUCAACCAUAUUCUUUUUCAGAGUUGAUGGCGAUGGUGAAUAACUUUGCAAGACUAGACAAGGCCUGGAGGGCUCGGCAAGCCCAAGCCAAAGGCACCAAGGAAAAGAGAAGGAAAAAAAAUAAAAUAAAAGGAGGUCGCCAUCAAGUCUAGCAAACUGAGUCAUUCAAGUAUGAGUUAUUCCGCUUGUACCCCAUAUUCAAGAGUUAGAGACUAUAAUAAGAGAGGAAGAUUUCAGUCCCUUAGUUAGGAGCAGCUCAACCAUAUCGAGGAGUAUGCAGAAGAAAAAGGAUGAGAUCCAAAUUAACUAUCCUAAGAAAUUGAGAGAGGAGUCAGCAGCUUACAGUGACUACCUAAAUUAUACACAUAGAUAUCCAAGCCAGACUUGAAAAAUCCACCAAAACAGACUUGAAUUGGACGAACCAAAAUUAGUGUGAAAUCGACAGGCAAGUUACAUUAAUUCGCCCAUAAUUCUCUCUACAAAAUGAAUUUUAAGGCAAGGAACCGACAAAAACUAGACAGCAAAACUUUCCAACAGUAUAUCACAGGCAAAAAUUGAAGCUAAAACGAGCCAUGAACCGACUAAAUCAAGUGAAGGAUCAUACCGAGGUAGAAAAGACCAACUGGCUGAUCAACAUAGUCUGACCAAUGCUCAAGGUCGGUCGGUCGACCCUGAUUGCUGGUCAACCCCAGUUGGCUAGGUUUGACUAUUGUGAACACCUAAAUUCUAUACUCUGGAUAUCCAAACCAGACCUAAAAAUUCAUCAAAUUGGACAUAAAUCAAACGAACCAAAAUCUGGGCAAAAACAGACCGACAAUUUGCAUUGAUUCAGCCAUAAUCCUUUUCAAAGUGGGAAUUUCAAGAAAAGGUUAGUGUCAAUGGAAGCUAGACUAGAAGAAUUUUUCAACAGUAUAUUACAGGCCGAAAUUGGAAUUGAAUUGGGCCUCGAACGAAACGAAUCCAAACGAAAAAAAGACUGUAAAAGCCGAAAAUUGCACUAGACUGGCGGCUAGUUGCUUGGCUGUGGUGCUCUGGCGAGGUCCUAAGAGACAUAAUUUUCUUCUCUUAACUUUUAUCAUGAGGAUGUAAGACCUCAAACUGUCAAAUUUCAAGUUUAAAUUUUAAAUUCGCUAUUCCUAAAUUUGGUAUUAAAUUAAUAAAUUGGGAUGAUUAUUUCAACACUGAAUAGUAUAUCUAAUUAAUCCUAAAAUAGACAAUGAUAAAUUUUUGACUUAAACGAAUUGGUUAUAUAAGGAUGUUAAAAAUAAAAAUUUUAAUUAAUAAACCAAGUUUUAGCUAAACAUAAUCUCUUGGUUAUUGUUAUUACUAUAGCUAAUUAGAUUAUCGAACUAUUGAGUAAUGCAUGCUUAAGAAUACUAAUUUAGGAUUAGUAAAUUAAUUAGUAUGCUUUAUAGUGGAAGAAUAUGUGUGCAUAUACUAUACAUAGACUGUGAAUGUCCAUAUAAUUCUUUCUUUUUCUUUCAUUCUUUCAUUUAUAAAUUGUUAUGAGGUAUUAAAAUGUUGGUGACAAAGUUGAGUUGGAUUAGAAACUGAAUUGAUAUCCUACUAUUUGGGGAGAUGCUAUCCAAUUUUGAAAAUAUUUAUAGAUAACUAUUUUAGUUAUAUAUAUUCCAUAGACCUUAAUUACCAAGAGAACUAGAAGCUUCAUUACUGUUAUCAUUGUUAUAACUAAAGAAUCUGGUAGGUGACACAGGUAAUAGUUAUGAAUUAGAAUAAAUAAAGAAAUAAAGAAAAUUGUAAUUGAAUAGUUUGAUAAGUGAAGGUAAAUAACUAUAGUGAUUGUAACUAGUUAAUGAAUUAGAACUAAAUUUCUCGAGUUAGAAAUUUUUACUUAGAAUUUCCUUUCUACAUGCUUAUAGAGUUCUAGAAUGGCACGUCGAUAGCUUGAAAUGGGCAGUAAUAAAGAUAGUAUUGUUAGGACAAUAAUAAACUGUGAGUAGAGUUAGAUAAUCCUCAUUGCUUAUGCAUUGUACAUUCAUGCAUAUAUAAAUAAUACUUUAACUAUGUAAAAUAUGCAUACAUAUAGAAAUUACAUAUAGCUAUGUAUUUCAUGUUUUGUACCGAAUAUAUAUUUAUAUAUUACAAUAUAUGGGUAUGCUUUAUACUAUGUUCUCUGUUGAAUAUGUGAAAUUCUGUGAUUGGAUAUGAUUUGUUUUUGUUGUGCCGUGGAGUUAGAAUAAUGUGGGUCAUCUUGGGGUGAGAGCAUGAGUAUAUAUAUGGUGAGAAUACUAUCAGUGAGCUGUAAGCGGAUGGAGUGGCACCUCCUGUGCACUCCUCGAUUUUGAUGCACAUCAAUGAUAAAAAAACAUUAUAUAAGUGCCCGAUAAGGUCUACUCCUUAAGUGCACUUGACACAAAGAUUGGUAGAUUUACUAAUUCCAGAACAUUAUAUAAAGCAUGCUUUGGGGGUGAGCAUGAUCCUUAUUUAUAAAGGGACACUGCAGACUAAUAUGUAUUGUUUGAUCACUUGAACUCUUGUGAAUUAUUUGAUACGUACGCAUUCAUACUCGCUUGUUCAUUCAUGAAUAGCAGGACGGCUGUAAAUAAAUUAUUAUAUUAUUCAUAUGUCUGAUCAUGUGAGAAGGUUAUUUAACCCUACUCAUUGAGUUUAGGCACGCAACUCUGCCGUAAUAUUUUUUUAAGCUUUAAGAAGAAAAAGAGUCCUAUGGAAGCAAAUAGAUUGAACUACUGACGAACAAAAAUAUUAAUGGAUGUAUAGUUUUAUUGAGUACAAAUGCAUGUAGGAAAGAUUGUUAUUUAUAGAGUCCCGCAAUUGUAUUCCAAGUGUGUUGUAAUUAAAAGAUACAUAUGCAUUUAUUAUAUAAAUUAUAUUUAUGAAAUGUAUGUAAAUUAUUAGAUUAAGUCUACUAAGCUUUUGAACUGGAUUAUUGAAUGGUUGAAAUGACCUAACAACUUUGUUUUGAGAUUAUUUAUGAUGGGCCUAAGGCCUAGUUUGAUGACAAGUUAUAAAUCCAUUUAGGUUCAUGCUUACUGUGUGCUUUGGAGGCCUUAUGUUCACCCAGGUUCUAAUAACAAUCUGGUCCUUGAAAACAGAUCGUUACAUUAACUCUCUUUGUGUUUUCAAAAUAUUUUUCAUGACACAAAAAAAAAAAAAAUGUAAUUUAAUAGUUGAUGAAGCAUUAACUUAAUAAUAGAAAAACGAAAAGGAAAAUAGGAAAAAAAAAUGCUCCCUCCAUUCUAUUUAUAUAGAAAAAAAUUUCCUUUUUGGGCAUUCUAUUUAUGUAGAGAAAAUUUCUUAAUAUGGUAACUUUGGGACUAAUACCAAAGCAAAAAGUCGAAUAUGCCCUUAUUUUGGUUUAUAGAUUAAAUAUUGACUUUAAGAAUAUUUCAAGAAAGUGGCAGACAUUAUUGUGGUUGACAUUUAAUGUUAAAAAAUUGACUGAAUCAUGCAUUAAGAAAAUGUCAAAUUCAAGUCUAUUAUGUGCACAGAUUAAAUUUCACCAAAAAGCUUAUGCUUAACUUUUAAGUGUGCAUAUAUAAUGAAAUUUACUCAUAACUCUAAUAAAUCCUGAAUGGAGGAAAAUUUCCUCUCAAACGACUGUGCUAAAAUAAAAAUAGUUGUGCCAAUUUAUAUUUACUCCGAUGAACUCCUUAAUUGGCUAAAAAGAGAGAUACAGAACUUAAACCCUAAUUUCAUUGCUUAAAUAAAACUAGUUGUGCGCAUUUUUGCAUUAUGUCAAAUUCUAUAAAUUGUUUUAGCAGAUAUAGAUACAACAUCUGCAACUUUAUCAAUACUGCGAGCAUUUGAUUCUUCCCUUUCUGUUUCAGAACACAGUAACAUACAAACUGUAUUUUUCACAUCUACAAUGAUGUUUUUCCUUUUGUUGCUCUUUUCGGGCCUCUUUUGGAACGUUAAUUGGUAGUAGUGUGGUUUCGGAUUUUACAGAAAGCGGUUGUUCAGUGUAUGGUAAGGAGAUCAAGUCUAAGUGUUGAUUGUUGAGCAUGGGCACAUCUUCUGAAGUUGCAAGCAAGUUUUGAGAGACUGUAUUCAAAUCAAAAGGAAGGAAUGUGUCCAUGACGUUUGUGAAUUAAAUUUUAGCUUUGUGAACUCAUUCCUAUUUAGAUGAAUUCAGCUUUGAAAAUUUUGGCUCUAACUUUCAUUUUUUUCGCUUAAAUUUGGAGAAGCAAAAUAAAGAAUUUAAGGUUGAAAAUUUUGGCUAUGAACUUUCUUUCAACUUUCACUUCAAUUUUUUUAAUCAAAAUUUGAUAUUAAAAUUUUAAUGCGCAAUUGCAAUUAAACGGCCCACGUUUUUUUUUUUUUUUUGUUAUCAGAAGUUUAAAAAAAUAAAACGCCUUAUUUAAGCAACAGAUCCUUUCUCUCAUCAUUUAUCACGUUUUAUUGAAAAUUGGGGACCACUUUAAUAUCUUUUUAGGGGUAAAUUAAAAAAAAAUCCACAAAAAGAUCACAUCCUUAAUCCUAGAUAAAUUUUGACUUUCUCUAUAUAAAUAGAAUGGAGGAAGAAUUAAUCAAUACUCAAUAGAAAAAAUUUUCCGUUUGUUUUAUAAAUAAUAGGAAGAAGUUAAAAAUAAAAUUUAUUUUUUUAUAAAUUAAAAUUGAAUAGAAUUUUAUUUGACAAUAUUAACUAUUUUAGUAACUUUUAACUAAUUUUUAGCUAAAUAUUUAUAGAUGCCCCACCCAUGAACAUAAAUAACAGUGAGUACAUUCAUUUUAGAUAGGUCGAGUAUUUUAUUCAAUAAACCAAAUACACGAAAGAGGGAGUCAUGAUGGUAUUGACUAAAAAUUGGAAACUUUCAUAUCAAUACAUAAAUUUAUCAAUUAAAGCAAUACAGUACACAUAAAACAACUUUAAAGAAGAUGAAGUAAUGUAAUAUAAAUUAGGAGAAUUCGAUCUCAAAAUACCAUUUGGUGUGAUCCUUCGUUCCCCUUAAAAUCCAAUAUUUGACAAUUCAUUUUGGGCACUGAUUAAGGUCACGUUGGUAUGAGUUGCAUCGUGGAGGAUUUUUACGACUUUUACGUGGAAGGCAGUAGCGUUUCCCCCGACCGCAAUCAAGAGUAGAACGGCGUUUUCCCGUUACGCCAGUUACAACUUUGGUGCUAGCUGCAAGCAUUCUGUUAGUCUCGGAGUCCAUCAUCAACUCUAAUUCCAUGUUGGUGUCUGCCAUGGAAAAGGAAAAGGAGUUGCUGCUAAUCAUUUCCUGCGGAGUACUGACAGCUCGCAGACAACUGCUUCUGCUCAUCAGAAUCAAAAUCCCCACCACCGCUAGAGAAAGACUCCUCAUUCUGCCUUUUUUUUUUUUGUACUAUUUUCUAGUGUCGGUGUUUAUUUCAUAUGCAAAUACAGCUGUGGGGAGAGCUCUAAAUAGCAAAUUGGUGGUUUUUUGACAUUGACUUAUUGGCUGCAUUCGAAAUUGCUCCACUUAAAGAAAUUGAUUGGACCAAGAGAUAAUGGAUAAUGAGUCCGCCAUCCUUGACUUUAAGAGUUUAUUUAAUGUAUUUGUGAGUGUAUUAUAACUAGUGUGAGUGGUUGCCAAUAUCACGACAAUCAUAGAGGUAAA
rnacentral:lncRNA from 1 species